rnacentral:tRNA from 1 species
GGGAUAAAGGGUGUUCGUACGACACUCGGCAGUUAAUCGACAUCUGCCAACUGGUCUAAUAAGCGUGUUUGGUAACA